UACGGAGGGAGCUAGCGUUGUUCGGAAUUACUGGGCGUAAAGCGUGCGCAGGCGGCGGCUCAAGUCAGGUGUGAAAUCCCCGGGCUUAACCUGGGAAUUGCGCUUGAAACUAGGUCGCUAGAGUGUGGCAGAGGGGGGUGGAAUUCCACGUGUAGCAGUGAAAUGCGUAGAGAUGUGGAGGAACACCAAUUGCGAAGGCAGCUUACUACACGAUAAUUGACGCUGAGGCACGAAAGCGUGGGGAUCAAACAGG
rnacentral:rRNA from 1 species